rnacentral:lncRNA from 1 species
AAAAAUUAAAAAAUGAUCAGAAAAACAUGAAACCUUGCUUGAUUUAAUGUCAUGCCACCAAGAUGAUGUGGUAAAGAAAUUGGCAUGUUUGAAGAAAGUUUGGACACACACCCCUCACAAACCUAAGCAACUCGCUAGAAGGUUCGUGGUUCCGAGAGGGAACAAUGCUUGUUUGAUGACGAACGGGAGAUAGCUUCCUCUUACGGCCUUGAAAUUUUUUCUACGUCUAACGUGCACUACUACAACUGUAAUGUGAAAUUUUGGAAAAUUCUAGGGGUCAUUUGACCUUUCAAAGACAUUUAAGUGAUUUUCUAACCAUUUAAUGACCAUAAUUCAAAUUUGAACUGCAUCUACAUGCAACGCCUAACCAAAACGGUUUGAAAAAUCUUAUUUGUGUACUUGUGUGCGAGUUAAUUCCAUGUGCGGUAAAUUAGAAGGAACUUUCAAACAUAUUGGCCUCACGACAUGGACACAUGCAUACGUAUGCAUGGAGUGACACGGCAUUUUAAUUCAAAGAAAAUAGAAAAAUGAUCAUAAACACAUGAAACCUUGGUUGAUGUAAUGUCAUGCCACCAAGAUGAUGUGGUAAAUAAAUUGUCAUGUUUGACGAACGUUUGGACACACGCCCCUCACAAACCGGAGCAAGUCGCUAGAAGGUUCGUGGUUCCGAGAGGGAACAAUGCAUGUUUGAUGACGAACGGAAGAUAUCUUCCUCUUACAGCCUUCAAAAAAAUUUCCUACGUUUAACGUGCAACUGUCAUGUGAAAAUUUGGUAAAUUUCAGGGGUCAUUUGACCUUCUAAAGAUAUUUAGGUGAUUUUCUAAGCAUUUAAUGAUCGUAAUUCAAAUUUGAACUACAUCUACAUGCAAUGCCUAACCAAAACGGUUUGAAAAAUCAUAUUUUGUUGUACUUAUGUGCGAGUUAAUUCCAUGUGCAGUAAAUUCGAAGGAAUUUUCAAACAUAUUGGUGUCAAGGCAUGGGCACAUGUGUGGAGUGCAUGCCAUGGCAUUUUAAUUCAAAAAAAAAUUUAAAAAAUGGUCAGAAAAACAUGAAACCUUGCUUCAUUUAAUGUCAUGCCACCAAGAUGAUGUGGUAAAAAACUUGUCCUGUUUGACGAAAGUUUGGACACACACCCCUCACAAACCGGAGCAACUCACUAGAAGGUUCGUGGUUCUGAGAGGGAACAAUGCAUGUUUGCUGACGGACGGGAGAUAGCUUCCUCUUACGGCCUUCAAACUUUUUCCUACAUUUAACAUGCACUAAUACAACUGUCAUGUGAAAAAUUGGAAAUUUUCAGGGGUCAUUUGACCUUCUAAAGACAUUUAAGUGAUUUUCUAACCAUUUAAUGACCGUAAUUCAAAUUUGAGCUACAUCUACAUGCAACGCCUAACCAAAACGGUUUGAAAAAUCAUAUUUUUGUGUAGUUGUGUGCGAGUUAAAAAAUCAUCAGACGAUGUAAA